rnacentral:rRNA from 1 species
AUACGAGGGGUGCAAGCGUUGUUCGGAAUCACUGGGCGUAAAGGGAGCGUAGGUGGAAUUGCAAGUUAACCGUGCAAACCCGGGGCCCAACCCCGGACUCGCGGUUAAGACUGUGAUUCUUGAGUUAUUCAGAGGUAGACGGAAUUCCUGGUGUAGCGGUGGAAUGCGUAGAGAUCAGGAAGAACACCGAUGGCGAAGGCAGUCUACUGGGGAUAAACUGACACUGAGGCUCGAAAGCGUGGGUAGC